rnacentral:lncRNA from 1 species
AGAUGCGAGAUUCGAGGUAGAAUCUAAUGACCGUAGAUCAGAAGGGGAGUUUUAAGAUUUCAAAAAUUCUUUUAAUGGAGGUCUUCCCACAUGCCGACGAGAGGAUCGUAGAGAAUUAUUCGAGCGAUCAACCCAUUGGUUCGACUCUAUCAGAGUAGACUUAUUUGAAUAUUCAGGCAGUUUACAAAUAGAGGUGUUUCUUGAUUGGUU